rnacentral:rRNA from 1 species
GAUGAACGCUGGCGGCGUGCUUAAUACAUGCAAGUCGAACGGAGACAAUAGCAAUAUUGUCUUAGUGGCGAACGGGUGAGUAACGCGUUGGUGACCUGCCCCGAAGAGGGGGAUAACAGUCCGAAAGGAUUGCUAAUACCCCAUGUGGUCAUAUGGAUUAGAUGCCUAAUGACUAAACGGAUUUAUUCGCUUCGGGAGGGGCCUGCGUCCCAUCAGCUAGUUGGUAAGGUAAUGGCUUACCAAGGCGAUGACGGGUAGGGGACCUGAGAGGGUGGCCCCCCACAAUGGAACUGAAACACGGUCCAUACACCUACGGGUGGCAGCAGUAGGGAAUAUUGGUAAUCUGGGAAACCGGGAACCAGCAACGCCGCGUGCACGAUGAAGGCCUUCGGGUCGUAAAGUGCUUUUGAAGGGAUGAGGAAGGACAGUACCUUCAGAAUAAGCCUCGGCUAACUACGUG